rnacentral:rRNA from 1 species
CGCCUGUUUAUCAAAAACAUGGUUUCUUGAAUAGUUUCUAUAGGAAAUUUGACCUGCCCACUGAAAUAAUUUUUGAAGGGCCGCAGUAUUUUGACUGUGCAAAGGUAGCAUAAUCAUUAGUCUUUUAAUUGAAGACUGGUAUGAAUGGUUGGACGAGGUAAAUUCUGUUUUAUAUUAAAAAAUUGAAUUUAGAUUUUAAGUAAAAAUACUUAAAUGAAAUUAAGGGACGAGAAGACCCUAUAGAAUUUUAUAUAUAAAAUAAUUAAUUUAGUUAAGGUUAAAUUUUUUAUUAUUAUUAAAUGUAUUAAAUUGGGGUGAUUAAAAGAUAAAUUAAACUCUUUUUUAAUUUAAAUAUUGUAUGUAAUUAAAUGAUCCAUAAUUAGUGAUUAUAAGAUUAAAUUACCUUAGGGAUAACAGCAUAAUUUUUUUUGAGAGUUCAUAUUGAAAGGAAGGAUUGUGACCUCGAUGUUGGAUUAAGAUUAAUUUUAGGUGUAGAUGUUUAUUAAUUAGGUCUGUUCGACCUUUAAAAUCUUACAUGAUCUGAGUUCAAACCGGAGA